GACAGAGGCCUCAAGCGUUAGGCGGAAUCACUGGGCUUAAAGCGUGUGUAGGCGGAUCGUUAAGUGUCUUGUGAAAUCCCACGGCUCACCCGUGGAACUGCCGGGCAUACUGGCGAUCUUGGGCCAACUAGGGGCAACUGGAACAAGCGGUGGAGCGGUGAAAUGCGUAGAUAUCGCUUGGAACGCCGAAGGUGAAAACAGGUUGCUGGGGUUGUGCCGACGCUGAGACACGAAAGCCAGGGGAGCAAACGGG
rnacentral:rRNA from 1 species